UGUGCUAAGGUAGCAUAAUCACUAGCCUUUUAAUUGAAGGCUGGUAUGAAAGGUAAAACAUUUUAAUUUCUUUCUUAUUAAUAAAUUUAUAAUUUAUAUUAAGUAUAAAAAUAUACUUAUUAUUUAAUAAGACAACAAGACCCUAUUGAACUUUACUUUAGUUUAGCUGGGGUAGCUAAUUAAAUAUUAUUUUAAUUUAAUUUAAUAAAUUAAAGAUCCAAUAUCAUUGAUUUAUUGAAUUAAGUUACCAUAGGGAUAACAGCAUAAUUUUUUUAUAAAGUUCGUAUUAACAAAAAAGAUUGUGACCUCGAUGUUGAAUUAAUGUACCAUUUAUUAUGUAAUAAUAUAAAAUGUAGGUCUGUUCGACCUUUAAAACAUUACAUGAUUUGAGUUCAAAUCGGCGUAAGCCAGAUUGGUUUCUAUCUAUUAUUAAAUUUGUUUAGUACGAAAGGACCAAUAAAUUUAUUUUUAAU
rnacentral:rRNA from 1 species